rnacentral:rRNA from 1 species
UACAGAGGUCCCAAGCGUUGUUCGGAUUCACUGGGCGUAAAGGGUGCGUAGGCGGCUGGGUAAGUCUGAUGUGAAAUCUCCGAGCCUAACUCGGAAACUGCAUCGGAUACUAUCCAGCUAGAGGAUUGGAAGGGAGACUGGAAUUCUCGGUGUAGCAGUGAAAUGCGUAGAUAUCGAGAGGAACACCAGUGGCGAAGGCGAGUCUCUGGACAAUUCCUGACGCUGAGGCACGAAAGCCAGGGGAGCAAACGGG